AUGGAACACUAAACAUUGAUGUAGAGUCCUUCUGCGUAACACCAAACCUCACCUGUUUGAAUGAAGCGCAGCAGGAGGAAGCCGUGCAGCAGUCAGUGUGAGGGAGGAGGAUGCUGCAGGAGGCAGCACGGGUUUGACUCUUUGCUCCGUCUCGUUUCAAGAUGCCUUCAACAUCACCAAACCAUCCUGGUAAUUUAAGUGUUGUUUCCAGAACCAGUUCAUCGUUAAUAGAUGUUGAAUUUGUUUUGAUGCCUUUAUAAAUUAUUGUGAUAUUACUGAACAACAUGUGUGAUGGGAGGUUUUUUAACCCUUCUUUCCAGUGUAUCACUACUGCCCCCAGGACAGGUCGCUCAACAACAGCCAUGCCAAGAGACUGACCUUGGGAGGCAGUAAGCUGUGCCAUUGUCCUCUGCUUCUCCCAGGGAAGGAGCUGGACUCCCUGAACUACACUGGGACUGAACAAAAGCACAUCCCAACUCUCCUGCUCCUGGCCGCAGCCCUUUAGUGCCUCCAGGGACCAGCAUUGACUGGCAUGAAAAGCAAACCCAGGGGGUAAAUAAAGCUAUAUUUAACAAGUCUCAGCUCCUGAUUCAGCAUGCUGCACAGCUCAGCACUGCUGGGGCACCUGCUGCUCCGUGUCCUGCCACACCAACAGCAGUGCAGGAUUCCAGGUAACAAAAAGCAGCUGGGGUUGAAGUCUCUGCACACUGUGAGCACACACACAACUUCUUGAAGCCCUGGUCAGAGCAGCCUGGGCCUCCUGCUCCACCAGGACACAUGGUUCACACAGAGAAAUCAGGAGGUACUUUCGUAGCUAUAAAGAGAUUUAUUUGGGGGUGGGACUCUGCACUACUCGAAGCCAGGCUCUAAGCUGGCUCUCGGGAUCUAGGGCGCACUCUUCUUUGGACAAUAAAGUUCAAGUCACA